rnacentral:rRNA from 1 species
AGAGUUUGAUCCUGGCUCAGAAUCAACGCUGGCGGCGUGCCUAACACAUGCAAGUCGAACGCGAAAGUGGAACAAUCCAUGAGUAGAGUGGCGAACGGGUGAGUAACACGUGGGUGACCUACCUUCGAAUGGGGGAUAACGUCCCGAAAGGGACGCUAAUACCGCAUAACAUCCUGUCCUUGAACGGAUGGAGAUCAAAGCCGGGGAUCGUAAGACCUGGCGUUUGAAGAGGGGCCCGCGUCCGAUUAGCUAGUUGGUGAGGUAACGGCUCACCAAGGCGACGAUCGGUAACCGGCCUGAGAGGGCGGACGGUCACACUGGGACUGAGACACGGCCCAGACUCCUACGGGAGGCAGCAGUGGGGAAUUGUUCACAAUGGGCGCAAGCCUGAUGACGCAACGCCGCGUGGAGGAUGAAGGUCUUCGGAUUGUAAACUCCUGUUGCUCGGGACGAAAAGCUACGACCUAACACGUCGAAGUCUGACGGUACCGAGUGAGGAAGCCCCGGCUAACUCUGUGCCAGCAGCCGCGGUAAUACAGAGGGGGCAAGCGUUGUUCGGAAUUACUGGGCGUAAAGGGCGCGUAGGUGGCCUUCUAAGUCGAACGUGAAAUCCCUGGGCUCAACCCAGGAACUGCGUCCGAACUGGGAGGCUUGAAUCCGGAGAGGGAUGCGGAAUUCCAGGUGUAGCGGUGAAAUGCGUAGAUUCUGGAGGAACACCGGUGGCGAGGCAUCCUGGACCGGGAUGACACUGAGCGCGAAAGCCAGGGGAGCAAACGGGAUUAGAUACCCUGGUAGUCAAGGGCGAAUCAGCAACUGCGCCGUUACUAGUGGCCA